rnacentral:rRNA from 1 species
GUAGGUGGCAAGCGUUGUCCGGAAUUAUUGGGCGUAAAGCGCGCGCAGGCGGUCCUUUAAGUCUGAUGUGAAAGCCCACGGCUCAACCGUGGAGGGUCAUUGGAAACUGGGGGACUUGAGUACAGAAGAGGAAAGCGGAAUUCCAAGUGUAGCGGUGAAAUGCGUAGAGAUUUGGAGGAACACCAGUGGCGAAGGCGGCUUUCUGGUCUGUAACUGACGCUGAGGCGCGAAAGCGUGGGGAGCAGACAGGGAUUAGAUACCCUGGUAGUCCACGCCGUAAACGAUGAGUGCUAAGUGUUAGGGGGUUUCCCGCCCCUUAGUGCUGCAGCUAACGCAUUAAGCACUCCGCCUGGGGAGUACGGCCCGCAAGGCUG